AGGAUGAACGCUGGCGGCGUGCCUAAUACAUGCAAGUCGAGCGGUAAGGUUCUCACUCUGUAUUUAACGAGUUUGAAUAUAGUGUGAGAAUACACGAGCGGCGGACGGCUGAGUAACACGUAGGAACGUACCCCAAACUGAGGGAUAAGCACCAGAAAUGGUGUCUAAUACCGCAUGUGGUCUUCGGAUUAAAGCUUCGGCGGUUUGGGAACGGCCUGCGCAUGAUUAGCUUGUUGGUGAGGUAAUAGCUCACCAAGGCGACGAUCAUUAGCUGGUCUGAGAGGAUGAUCAGCCAGACUGGGACUGAGAACGGCCCAGACUCCUACGGGAGGCAGCAGUAGGGAAUUUUCCACAAUGGGCGCAAGCCUGAUGGAGCAACGCCGCGUGCAGGAUGAAUGCCUUCGGGUUGUAAACUGCUUUUAUAUGUGACGAUUAUGACGGUAGCAUAUGAAUAAGGAUCGGCUAACUCCGUG
rnacentral:rRNA from 1 species